CGGAGCUGCAACAUUUUUCCACUGAUGAAGCUACAGUGCGCAAAUCCACGGAUCCUACGCAGCCACCCAAACAACAGCAGGACGCGGCCGUGCUCAAGCCGCAGGACGCAGGACACAAAAAGGUCGUUCAACUGUGCAGCCGUAGAUUUCCUGCAGCCCAAUCGUAGAUUUCCUGUGCUGCCUUGCAAGUGCAGACGUAGAUUUCUUUACAGGUGAAUUCCUUUUUUUUUUAAGAAUUUG
rnacentral:lncRNA from 7 species